CUGGGCUGGGACGAGGAAGCAGGGUAUCAGCCUGUGCCCUUCCUUCACUCCGCACCCCUGCGUAGAGCGGUGCAGGCCGGUAGGGUGAGGCACAGGCCGGCCCUCGCCCUCUUCCCGCCCUCUCAGUGCGUGCAACCCGCUGGGGAUGCGCUCGGUGCCCGCGACGUCUCCGUGUGGCGCGCGGUCCCCGUGCCUCUGCCCUCAGGGCCGCUGCGAUGCCCCCGGCACCGGCACACACGAGGCAAAGCGUGCAGACAGCACGACCUUGGCGGGAGGAGCCCGGGAUGGGGUGACCGGAGUGUGAUCACAGCCUCUCCUCCCCGGCGCUCCCCGUGCCACGCCCCGAGGCAGAUAGCAGCUCGGAGCCUCCGGGCAGGGCCCGACCCGCACCAGAGCCGCUUUCGCGGCGCAGAGCUGGGCUGAGGCAGCGCAGCGCGCGGCGCGUUUCCCCGCUGCCCGGUAGGGGGUGCUGCUGGGCCGCCUUUUGGCGGGGCGCGGGGUGUCGCGCGGGCGGGGCUGGGCGCUUCUCACCUUGGCGCCCGUUUGUGAGGGAGCUCCGCCGGUGCCUGCUCGGCUGCUGUCAGUGUGCCUUCGGCCUCGUGUUGAGCUUUGUGCUUAGGAACGGGGAAACCUCGCUCAGAUGCUCAAUGCCGUCCUUCUCCCUUGCCCCUGAACUACAGCUCAGAGCUAACAAAACUGUAUUCCUGGAUGAAAUUUUAACAGAUCCCCAGCAUAAAGUUUCAGCUCGGGGCAAUGUGGAGGUGCCGCAGAUAAACAAGAAGAACAAUUCUGCGUAUUGAACUCUCAAACGAAAGUUUACUUUCCCUCUUCUCCCUGUCUACCUGUGCUCUGGUAAGACACUAUUUCUUCACAGUGGAAAUCAUCAUAGGACAGGAGAACUAUUUCUUUCAUUAUGAUGGAAACUGGAAGAAUACUUUUGCUACUUGGUGACAGGUUGAUUGAGCUGUCAAGAUAAGGAUAACAGGAUGUAUUUUUAUGUAUCAUCGUGUGACACCUCUUCCAACAUCUCAGCAUAGCUGUGUACUCAUGACUAGACAGGCAAACAUCCUGAGGAAGGAAUACCUCCACUGUCAGUUUCUGGCAUUCAGUGUUUUGCAGUCAGCUAUGGCAAUAGCCUACGGUGUUAGACCUGUGAUGUUUUGGGAAUGUAUACUCAGCUUUCAGUUUACACUAGUUACGCAUACUGCCCCGUGAGUACCAAGGCUGCUCCACAGACAAGCUUCAGUUUUCCUCCGGGUGCCAAAGCUAGUGAGGGAUUGGCAGGGGUCCAGUAAGAAAUUCAGGAUGAGAAUCAUCAGCGACCAUCUACUACUGUUUUUCUUUUUGAUGAAUCAUUUAAUCAUCUUGUUUGGUUCCAUUUUAUAGAGGCAACAAACACUGCUUCAGUGGCAAGAAAAAGGAGCAGAACAGAACUGAACAUUUCCGUGCUUUCAGAAGGAAGAAAAAAAGUCAGGAGUUUAUCUUUCAAGGAUGACUGCUCUUCAAGUACACCAGGUGGGAUCCAAUCAUGCGCUGCAUCUGAAGUGCACUUGAGAUAAAUUCAGGAUAGGUUCAUGCUUGGCCUCAGCUCUCACCAGAUCUGUAAGUAUUUAGCUAAAGUCAGAGUUUAGAUACAUC
rnacentral:lncRNA from 1 species